UGCGCGUAAUUCAAAUCUUCUGUCAUGUCUAUCGACUAAACUCGGUAACAAGAUUCAACAAUCGUAGCCGCAUCUCGUUGUGAAAGAACUCAACAAACGGUUGCGUUUUACAGUGGGCCUCGCUCAAGGAAGCACAUUUUCUUCGUAUUGCACAUUUGUUCGUUUUUACGCUACGGUGUUACAUUAUUUAACUAGUUAUUUUGCAGAAAGGGACAUGACAUGAUUAUCUAGGUAAUCAUUGUGGCGAUUUUUGAAACGUGCUUUGGUUUUUGAGAUAUUGAAGAGAAAGGCCCCUGAAGAGGGGUGCGCAUACGGUCGUAAAUCUCUACAAAACGGUAACGGAAUAUGGUGAAACACAAGAAUAACAUAGCAGAGACGAUUUCUAAAAUAUUCAUCGUGGGGAUUUCUGAUUGAUGCUUUUGACACGAAGAUAUGACAACAUGAAUAUGUGCAACAUUCUGUAUUACGCCAUCCAUCCAUAUUUUUCUCUUAGAGUCAAAAAACAACCAAAAAGCUACACAGAACCUAAAAUCUAAAAACUAUACAAAACAACUAAGGAUCGAAACGCCUGAAAAACAACAAGACUGAGCAUCAUUCGGUCUUCUGUAGUGAGAGUGACAACCCAGUCGUCCAAACACUCGACCCCGUAUACUUUUAUCACGAGUCCCGUAUUUUUGAACCUCGUGAGCCCGUCUUCUUGCAUGUUAUUAGAGUGCGAGCACCGCUGUCACGGGGAUUUGUGCACCCGGUGAUUUGUGUACCCUCGCGCUUUGCUCGCGAUUCCAGACCGUCGACUCGAUGCUCCAGACCUCAUGUCGAGUACACAUAUCACCGGUCAUGAUGCAAAGCUGCUGGUGAUUUCGGACCCCGGUGAUUUGUGUACCCUUGUGCUUUCCUCGCCGUCCCAAAUCGUGACAACGUUUCAAGCAAUUGAUAUUACUGAAUACUCGUCUCUAGGCGUCGUUUUGAGAUUCACUCCAACAUUAGUUGGAGACGAUUGCAGACUCAGCUGCAAGCAUAGAUGGGUCUACAAGCCUGCAGUUCUCAACUUAAUUGCAACUGGGGAUCGCUGUAGGAGCAUUGAUGUGCACUCGUGUAUGCCAACUAGAGACUUAUGGACGACCUGGUCAUGUGUACACACGGGCGGACGGAAAUCUUAACACAGCUGGCAAUUUAAGAUGAUGUACUGCUUGCUGCACAUCACCCAACUGACUGACAGAAGUGAUCUCACUGUUUUCAGCUUCUAAAGGAAACCUAGCUUCUCGCCCAUGCAUUAAAAAGAAAGGAGUGAACUUCAUGGACUCUUGAACACUGGUUCGAAUAGCAAAGAGAACUGGGUCAAGGAGUUCAUCCCAGUCUUCUUCAUGCUCUAUUACCAAUUUUUCGAGGCAUCUAUGUAGUCAUAAUACUUUAAUUGCAAUAGAACUACACUUAUCUUCUUAUAUUGUUUAUCUUACUUUCUAAUUGUUUGAUUUGUUCUUUCAUCUAGUCUGUUAGACUGAGGAUGAUAAGCAGCUGUUAUUCUUUGCCUGACAUUGAAUUGACAAUGGAGUACCUUGACCGCCAGUUGGAUUUACGUGACACUCCUACAUCAAUCAACAGAGUGAUUCUUCACUCAUAUACAUAGCUAUUUCAAGUAACUGCAACUAAUUUUUAUUACGAUGCACUAGCCUGAAAGGCAUGAUCUUGCUCAUUUUUGCUACCAAGUGCCAGUCUGAGUAAACCUGGAGUCUUUGUGUAGUACAACCUUCCAUCUUGAACUGUAAAAUCUUUUGCUCUUCUUCUAAAUGACUUUCGUUUCCUGCUUGGAAUAUCAGUGUAGUUUGUCCCUCCAGAGACUAGGAACUCUUUGUAUGAGUUCACAAUGUUUUCCGACCAUUGUUCUGCUGAAGUUACAGUAUCUACUUCCUACCACAUCAUUAAAGUAAUUGUAACGUUGCAAUUGUUUAGAGCAUUUCUCCAAUACUAAUGCAUGCAGAUGUUGUACAGGGACUAUUUGGUCGCGUGGACUAUUUGGUCGCGUGGACUAUUUGGUCGCGGGCAAUUAUCUCGCUCCUAUUUGGUUCCCGAAAUCGUUUAACUAGGGCUUAUUUGGUUUCGGCCACCUGUAGGGACUAUUUGGUCGCGUGGACUAUUUGGUUUCGCAUUUAUUGAGCCUCGAAUCGGCACUCUCCAACUCUUACAGCUGUACGAGACGGACACGAACGACGUGACGAUGGCCAUGAUAAUUUUCACGCGUCUCCCAGACGUCUCGAUGGGCCGAAAUCGAGUGCGACCUGCUUCUUCUUCGUUUGUAUUUGGCUUCAUAUGAAUACUGAAGUCAUCACGACAUUGUCGAUCGCAAUUUCGCGUGUCUGACGUUUCCUUUUGAGGCAAAUCUCGGCUCGUCUGGUAGCGGGCGUGUUGAAAGUAGGCGGAGUAAGAAUGUCUUGUGCGUUACAAGGUAAACAAACAUGAUCCGAUCGCCGAGUGUAGGGAUGUGCCGCGGUUAGCUAAUUAGUUGUCCGGUCUGUUGUCUGCAUGCUGUACUCGGCUUCCUGCGAUGAUGGAUGUGCAAUCUGCGAAAACAGCCUGUCUGUCUGUCUGUAUGUCAGUCAGUCUGUUUGUCUGUCUGUCUGUCUGUCUGUCUGUCUGUCUGUCUGUCUGUCUGUCUGUCUGUCUGUCUUAGUUAUUAUAUUUCUUAAUAAUUAGCUUUAUCGUAACUAAGGCCCCAGCUAUAAGUAAAUCAUUGCAUUGGCCAUUCGAUGCCAUGCAGCUAUAUCAGUUGUAUUGUGUUGCGAUGUCCUUGAACUGCGGUUAUUAAACUGCAAAUUAGUGCAAAACAAAGAAGUUUAUUGCAAUCGAGUGUACUUGCAUGCUUACAUUACAUGACAGGUAACUAUACAAUCUACUUCUGCAACAGUACAUUACU